ensembl:lncRNA
GCUACACGGGUGAGGCAGCUCUUCACAUGGUUCUGAUUAGUGACAAAGUUCACAUUUUCCUCAGAAGAAGAGCGGGACUCUAAUGAUGAACAUUUGCAUUUUGAAGAGUGACCUGAUCCGGCCGAGGAUACAAUUUGGGAUGAGGUCACAGGGAAACCUGGAGCCUAUCCCAGGGAGCAUCGGGCACAAGGCGGGGUACAGGGUGCCAAUCCAUCGCAGGGCGAAAUCACAUACACAUUUUGGACAUGCCAAUAAUCCUACCAUGCCAUGCACCAUGCACCGGAGUACCCAGAGGAAACCUCCGC